GACGAAGGUGGCUAGCGUUGUUCGGUAUUACUGGGCUUAAAGCGUGUGUAGGCGGAAAAGUAAGCGUUUUGUGAAAGCCCCCGGCUUAACCGGGGAAUUGCGUGACGAACUGCUUUUCUUGAGGCAAGUAGGGGUGCAUGGAACUCUUGGUGGAGCGGUGGAAUGCGUAGAUAUCAAGAGGAACGCCAGCGGAGAAAUCGGUGCACUGGGCUUGUCCUGACGCUGAGACACGAAAGCGUGGGUAGCGAACGGG
rnacentral:misc_RNA from 1 species